CCCCAGACGACCGAACCAUCAACCAUCAACCUUCAACCAUCUCCUCUGCAACCUGAAAGAAUCAGCAUCACCAACAGCUAAGAACUAGAAGAGCUCCACCAUCACCAGUCCCCUCUCGAGCUCUCAUGGUGGUCGUCCAGGCCUCCAAGCUGACCAUCCCCGACCUCUCCCUCUCCCACUCCCCGGCCAUCGCCGCCGUCCUCUACGACCCCCACUCCCUCUCCCUCGCCCUCAUGCACUCCGACUCCUCCUUCUCCCUCUACCCCCGCCUCUCCCCUCUCUCCCUCCCCUCCUCCUCCUCCCUCCCCCCGCCCCAGGCCCUCGUCCCCCCUCCUUCCUCCUCCUCCGCCUUCCUCCUCCUCCGGCAGCGGGAGGACGGCGCCGGCGGCGACUCGCGGUCGCGGGUCGUCUUCCUCGUCUCCGGCCCGCACCGGGGCGGGUCCCAGAUCCUGCUCCGCUUCUACGCCCUCCGGGGCGGCGGCGGCGGCAAGUUCGCCAGGGCCCGAGUGGUUUGCAAGCAGAAAGGCCUCAGCUUUGACCCCGGCUCGGGGGUCGUGUUCGAUAACCGUCAUGGGGUUUCGAUUAAGGUUUCUGGGUCGACCAAUUUCUUCGCCAUGUACUCGAUUUCGAGCGGCAAGGUAUGGGUUUUCGCGGUCAAGGCCUUGGGAGAUGGGGGUAGUGGUGGUGGGGGUGAUGAUUGGGGGGCUUUGGAGUUGAUGAGGUGUGCGGUGAUUGAGUGUUGCAGGCCGGUGUGGUCCAUUAGUUUUUCUUUCGGGUUGUUGGUUUUGGGGGAGGAGAAUGGGGUUCGGGUUUUCAAUUUGAUGGCUCUUGUUAAGGGAGGAAGCAAGAGGGUCAGGAAUUCGAAUUCGAAUGGGAAGCUCGGUAAUCAGCGGUUGCCUAAUGGAGUGACUGCCAGUGGGAUUGCGGGAAAUUUGGAGAAUGCUCGCAAUGUUAGUUUGGAAGGGAAGAAUGAUAAGCACCCUGCAUCUGUGAAACAGUCAACAGUCAAGUUAAAGCAAGAAGCCAAUGAUGGGGGUUCUUGUUUUGUGACAUUGAAGAGCAAGGAUGGUGUAGACUCAACUUCUAUGUCCACACCAGUGAUGUCACUUAAAGCGCUUUACAUCCAACCUUUGUCCCCAAGAUCCUUCAUUGUUUUGGAUUCAGUUGGAGAUUUACACCUUGUAUGCCUGCCGAAGUCCAAGGCACCCACUGCUUCUGAUGUUAAUUUCCAUUUGAAGCAUAUGCCUCAUGUCAUGAAAGUGCACCACUUGACUGCUUUUCCUGAUAUUACAAUGAGUUCAGGAACUAUUUGGAUAGAUGAUGGAUCUAAUACUGUGCACAUGAUGGUUGGAUUUGACAUGGAGGCUAAUGAUGCAAAUGAUGGAAAUCAGAGUCAUGAAAGGCUGAUGCAGAUUUCAGUUGUCCAAGCAAUUUUUACGAGUGAAAAGAUUCAAAGUGUCAUUUCCCUGGCAUCAAAUGCUAUUUUGAUUCUUGGACAAGGAAGCCUGUAUGCAUAUGCCAUUUCCUAAGUCGCUCAUGAGUAAUUUUUACCUGGUCCCUGGCUAUGUGCAUGUUUUAAGGUUCUGAAUGGUUCCUGAACUGAUGUUUAGAAUUUGGUCAUGGUCCUAUUUCUGCUGUUUGCUGGGCGUAGAUGUCUGGUUGUCAAAAUUGGGAGCUGCAGCAUUCUCAUGCAUCUAUAUAUUUUAAGGACCUUGAGAAGACUGAGCUCUUAGAGGUACUUUUAUCGCUACCACUUUCCUUUGUGAAAGUACAGGUGCAUGGACCGGUUAAUUGCCCAUAAAGGAUUUCGAAAUUUGGAUCUCUGAUGAUUGAAAGCAUCAAAGUGGCAUGCCAUGCUUCUGUGUGCUCCUGGCUGCAGAAUCUACCGCUUUGCUGUUCAUGUUUAUGGGCACUUGCAGAGGUUGCACUUCCAUCUCUUCACCUCGGAGGUUGCGCUUGCAGAGUCUAUAUGCUUGUCCAUCAGAUGAAAGGUGUGCGAUCGAUGUGAGGUCAGAUAGACUAGAGGUCCCUUUAGUCGCUAUUAUGUCAAAAACAGGAUGAGGGUCCAAUGCAUAUAUUCCGCCUUCUGUACGCAGAGGCUUUAAGGCUCGUCCGCACCGGCGUAUCUUCGACUUGGGUUGGUCUUUUCUCCUUUACAAGAAUCGCAUGCUCUUAAGUUGAAGCGGGACCAUUCUUAAGUUAUGUAAACAGGAGUCAACGCCAUUUAGUGUUUUGAGUGGUCGAUCUGAUGCUGCAUUGCUAAUUCUCUAUGUUAAUGGAAAUUGCGUUUCUACUAGUA